rnacentral:lncRNA from 1 species
AUGACUGUUGAAAGCCCCCGGGGUUAUAUCAAAGGUCGAGGACAACCCACGAGACUUACAGAUGCCAGAGCUCUUGGAUCUCUUGGAAAGAGAGAAAACAGGGAAUCACUGAGUGUAGAGGCAAAGAUCAUUUGGCCCCCAAGGCACAGCUCCAGGGCUCUGUCCAAGAGCCAAAGCCUGAAUCAGCUCUGUCUGCCAGUCUGUCUGCUUCCCAUUCUCUCUCUCUCUCUCUCUGUCUCUCUCUGUCUCUCUGUCUCUCUGUCUCUCUCUCUCUCUCUGUCUCUCUCUCUCUCUCUGUCUCUCUCUUUCUCUCUCUCUCUCUCUCUCUCUCUCUCUCUCUCUCUCUCUCUCUCUCUCUCUCUCUCUCUCUCUGUGUGUCACUCCUUUCCUCCUUCCAGAUCUCUUGAAAGAGUUCUCUCUAUCCCACUCACCCUUCUUCCCUCCCUCAGUUCAUCUUUCUUUCCCUUCUUUCCUUCCUUCUUUUCUCUCCCCUUUCCUUCCUUUCUCUCUUCUUUGAUUCCCUCCUUCCCAUCUUUUCUUCCUCCUUUCCCUCCUUCCUUCUCACCUUUCUUUCCCUUCUUCCCUUCCUUUCCCUUCUUUCCUUCCUACCUUCCUUCUGUAAUGGAUGCGAGAAUGGAGUCAUCCACUAUGUUUACUUUGAUUCUUGGGAGUUAAAGAGGUGGGAUGGAGCCAGAAGAUGGAGAAGGGGAUAGAUAGGUCCUCCCCUCUCUUCCCCCAGUGAGGACAGCACAAGUUGUCUUUUAGAGGGACAGAAUAUGUCCCUUCAGUGCCUGAAUAUAGAGCCUGAAUAUUGAGUAUAGAGUCAUGGACUGAAGCUGACUCUCCCUCCUUGAGAGAGUAUAGCUUUCCUCCCCAAGCUUCAGAUCUCUUCUUGAGUGUUAUGAGACAGGCAACUUGAUCUAUAAAGAAUAAUUCUUUUAUUCUAAAAGGGAUACACAAAGACAGGGGGAAUAGGGUUGUUGAGUAAGGGAAGUGGGAAAUGGGAGAUCCCUAAGAUCUAACAACUGACCCUCCUCCCCAAAUCUUGAGGUUCAGAUUGUCCUGACUUCUAUCUCCCCAAGUUGUAGCAUGAAGUUCACAGGACAACUGUAGGGAAUAGAAAGAAGAAAGUCUUCUUUGGGUGGGUGGUUUUAUAAUAAAGUCCCAUCCACUCCUUUUUUCUCCA